AACGCGAAGAACCUUACCAGCCCUUGACAUGUCCCGUAUGAGUACCAGAGAUGGAACUCUUCAGUUCGGCUGGCGGGAACACAGGUGCUGCAUGGCUGUCGUCAGCUCGUGUCGUGAGAUGUUGGGUUAAGUCCCGCAACGAGCGCAACCCUCGCCCUUAGUUGCCAUCAUUUAGUUGGGCACUCUAAGGGGACUGCCGGUGAUAAGCCGCGAGGAAGGUGGGGAUGACGUCAAGUCCUCAUGGCCCUUACGGGCUGGGCUACACACGUGCUACAAUGGCGGUGACAGUGGGAUGCAAUGGAGUGAUCCUGCGCAAAUCUCAAAAAGCCGUCUCAGUUCGGAUUGUGCUCUGCAACUCGAGCACAUGAAGUUGGAAUCGCUAGUAAUCGCAGAUCAGCACGCUGCGGUGAAUACGUUCCCGGGCCUUGUA
rnacentral:rRNA from 1 species